rnacentral:rRNA from 1 species
CAGCAGCCGCGGUAAUACGGAGGGUGCGAGCGUUAAUCGGAAUAACUGGGCGUAAAGGGCACGCAGGCGGUUAUUUAAGUGAGGUGUGAAAGCCCCGGGCUUAACCUGGGAAUUGCAUUUCAGACUGGGUAACUAGAGUACUUUAGGGAGGGGUAGAAUUCCACGUGUAGCGGUGAAAUGCGUAGAGAUGUGGAGGAAUACCGAAGGCGAAGGCAGCCCCUUGGGAAUGUACUGACGCUCAUGUGCGAAAGCGUGGGGAGCAAACAGGAUUAGAUACCCGCGUAGUCCCUGUCUCUUAUAA